GACGAACGCUGGCGGCGUGCUUAACACAUGCAAGUCGAACGGAAAGGCCCUGCUUUUGUGGGGUGCUCGAGUGGCGAACGGGUGAGUAACACGUGAGUAACCUGCCCUUGACUUUGGGAUAACUUCAGGAAACUGGGGCUAAUACCGGAUAGGAGCUCCUGCUGCAUGGUGGGGGUUGGAAAGUUUCGGCGGUUGGGGAUGGACUCGCGGCUUAUCAGCUUGUUGGUGGGGUAGUGGCUUACCAAGGCUUUGACGGAUAGCCGGCCUGAGAGGGUGACCGGCCACAUUGGGACUGAGAUACGGCCCAGACUCCUACGGGAGGCAGCAAUGGGGAAUAUUGCACAAUGGGCGGAAGCCUGAUGCAGCAACGCCGCGUGCGGGAUGACGGCCUUCGGGUUGUAAACCGCUUUCGCCUGUGACGAAGCGUGAGUGGCGGUAAUGGGUAAAGAAGCACCGGCUAACUACGUG
rnacentral:rRNA from 1 species